GACGGAGGACUAUGUGUCCAGAGAGAGAAAGGACGGAGGACUAUGUGUCCAGAGAGAGAAAGGACGGAGGACUAUGUGUCCAGAGAGAGAAAGGAAAAGGACGGAGGACUAUGUGUCCAGAGAGAGAAAGGACGGAGGACUAUGUGUCCAGAGAGAGAAAGGAAAAGGACGGAGGACUAUUGGGGGGGGGAGGUUAUUGUCAGCAGAGAGAAAGAAACAAGAGACCGGGGCUAACUGAAUACAUACACUGAAACCUAAUUAAGACUACAGCAAUUAAGCGUCUAGUCUUGCAGUUCUUUAGAAGCCACGUUGCCUCUGAGUGUUUUGUCAGCAGAGGUUGACUUCACAGUUCAUGCAACGUUUACCAUUCUGAUCCUUCUGUCUACAUUUAAAUGUGUCCACAGUGCGGCCUGCUUUCCAGCGCUAUAUUCAAAUGCCAGCAUGAAUUCUACAAACGGUGGAAUAGGCUAAAUAUCACAAACAACAACAACUGAUGGCAACAGCUAACCAGCAAGCUAACCUCUGUAGAUAGCCAGCAAGCUAACCUCUGUAGCUAGCCAGCAACAUUAAAGGGAUUGCAAAAAGGUUAGCAUAACUCUGUUAGCCAAAAUAAAACAUUUUUUUCUAAAUAUUAGCUAGCUGGCUAGCAUUUAUAAGGCCAGCAAACACAUUCUUCACAGUGCUGAUGACUGUCAUCUCCCACUGUACGAACUUUCAGUAGCCUGAACGCAUCCAAACUGAAGAGAAAUCUGCACACAAUUUUUACUUGAACCUUUAUUAAACUAGGCAAGUCAGUUAAGAACAAAUUAUUAUUUUCAAUGACGGCAUAGGAACAGUGGGUUAACUGCCUGUUCAGGGGCCGAAUGACAGAUUUUUACUUUGUCAGAUCGGGGGGGUUACCUGCCGUCCCUACACUCUAACCAAUAGGCUACCUGCCGCCCCUACCCUCUAACCACUAGGCUACCUGCCGCCACUACCCUCUAACCACUAGGUUACCUGCCGCCCCUACACUCUAACCACUAGGCUACCUGCCGCCUCUACACUCUAACCACUAGGCUACCUGCCACCCCCAACGUACCACCUCUUGAAGUGUUCAGCCAGAUCUGAAUAUAAUCAGAUCGCAAAGCGACCUUUUUAAUGCGAUCUUUUGUAUUCUGAAGUCACAUGUAAGUGUCAAGUGUAGACACGAGGGGUUUUGAAAGGCCUGGUCCCCCUCCUGGGGCCUGUUGCACAAAAGUAGAAUUAAGACAUCCGGGAUAAAUGACUCAGCUGAGCUCAAUGAAGCAAAAACAUGUGCGUCCAGGCUUAAUUGGUUGCACAAAGACCAAGCCAGGAUGAGCAGACACGGAUUCAUUAAGCCAGGUGAAACCAAUCCUGGAUAGGUGCGCGCUCACGGCUCACUCAAAUAGACCCUGCCACAGAUCACAGAUUAACUGAUUUACCAUGGCAACUAGAGCCGCGUACUUUUCCCCGUCGGAAGCACAAAUCCUCAUGGAGGCAUACGAGGAGGUAAAAGAUAUAAUUAAGAAGAAAGGCAACACCGCCACAGUGAUAAAGCAAAGAGAAAAAGCGUGGCAAAGUAUUGCAGACCGCCUGAAUGCGUAAGUAGUGCACAAUUACACACUCACCGCUCCGCUGAAACAUCACAAUUACAAUUCAAAUAUUUAAUUCACAUCUCCAAAAAUGCAGUUGUACUGUAAUUAUGAAACGGUUAAAUUUUUAAUUGAAAUGCACUGCAGAUAUGAGUGAAAUUGUGUAAAGUAACUCCAUCACACUGUAUAAAGCUAUGAUAAUUUUUUUGAUAUUUUUACUGAAAACAAGACAAAAAUACCAAGUAAUUUUUUGCAGUGUGACUCCAUUAAAUGUGUGUGUGUGUGUAGAUUAAACAUGAACGGGCCAAAACGGACAUGGCAGCAGGUCAAAAUCAAAUACAAGAACAUUCUGCAGAAUGCAGUGAAAAGAAUACCCACAGACAAGGCACGGGUGGUGGGUCACCAAAGGCUGACCUUACCCCAGCAGAGGACAUGGCCUUGGAGCUAAAUAAAGGCAGGCCCGUCUUAGAGGGGAUCCCUGGGGGGAAAGAGACGAGCAUAGGUUCCUCCCAAGAUGCCACCCGCUUCAUUCAAGUGCCUGGCAGCACUGUGUUCCUGUUAGAGCCACCAGCACAAGCACCAGACGAUGCUGAUCCAGGUGAAGGCCCCAGUGCAGCAGCAACAGCACAUGAUGGAGACGAUGAUGAGGAGGAGACCAUCUCUCUGAUUCCAGAAGGCAUGAG